GACGAACGCUGGCGGCGUGCCUAACACAUGCAAGUCGAACGGGGUGAUUUCCUUCGGGAGAUCACUUAGUGGCGAACGGGUGAGUAACGCGUGAGAAACCUGCCUUUCAGUGGGGGACAACAGUUGGAAACGACUGCUAAUACCGCAUAAUGUAUUUUUAGGGGCAUCCCUUGAAUACCAAAGCUUUAUGUGCUGAAAGAUGGUCUCGCGUCUGAUUAGCUAGUUGGUGAGGUAACGGCUCACCAAGGCGACGAUCAGUAGCCGGUCUGAGAGGAUGAACGGCCACAUUGGGACUGAGAUACGGCCCCAGACUCCUACGGGAGGCAGCAGUGGGGAAUAUUGGGCAAUGGGGGAAACCCUGACCCAGCAACGCCGCGUGAAGGAAGAA
rnacentral:rRNA from 1 species